UCCAUAUUCCAGUACAAUGCAUUGAUGAAUUCAUUCUAUUCACAUUGGAUCAAGAUACCAGAACAGUGUACAUUUUGGACCCUACUCCUAUUAAUCCAAUGUACCGAUACAACCCACUCGCAAAAUAUGUGAAAAAAUUAUAUGGAUUUCCGAACAUUUACCGAAAGCAAUGUCAAAAGCAUGCCGUGGGUCUAGAUGGAACGAGGAUAUUCUCUUAUGGCAUCAUAGAAUCCUAGAUGAUAUUCCAGUUUACAACAGGGAACUGUCUGGUUAUCUUGUUCCCCUAUUCAUGUCCACAUGGGAAGACGAAAGACCACAUUUGCCAUUUUUAAAGGAUGGAUAUGAACUCAGAAAACUAAUUUUGGGCCAACUACUAACAUUCAAGGACAAUGAAUGUGAAGAUAACAUGCCUGCUGGUGUACUGGACUUCAUCAAUUGUAUUAGGAAAAUCCAAAGUUAAACACGGG